rnacentral:lncRNA from 1 species
AACACUUUUCGUUCAGAUAUGUUUUAUAAUUCGUUACAAAACCCAUUCAGGUAUAUUUUUACAUUUUGGACUUGGUACAAGUCAGUUUUUCGUUUCAGAUUCGGUUCGAAAUUCAGAUUAAAAUUUUUAUGUCCAGUUCUAAUUAACGUAUUUGGAUCUUAAUUAGAUUUUAAUUUGGACUAUAAAAAUAAUUAAAGGAAAAUGGAAUACUCUUUGUCAUUUUAAUGAAUUUAUUAUAUUUAUUAGAAUGAUAGUUUUUUUUGUUUUACGGUUUUUUUGUUUUGCUGUUUUUUUGUUGUGAUUGUGUUUACCUUUUAUAUAAUGUUUAAACUUUUUAUAUUUAUUAAAUUAAUAAAAAAAUAAUUGAUAAGAAUUUGUAUAUUUGUUUUGAAUAUUUAAUUUAGAUACCGACGAUUUAAUUCUUCUCUGAUACGUGGCCAAAUGGCUACAAGUGCAGAACAAAAAGGUGAGAGCUGGCACAGAUUGGGCCGACGUGGUAAAAAUAAGAUUUGGAGUGACGUGGUUGAUAUAAGAAGAUCUGGUUGGUGCAUAGAUAUGCCUUGUCAUCGCCAUAUAUUACAAUCCUCAAUGCUCCUCGACAACCUGUCACCGCCCCUAAGUAUUUUCCUGUUUCCCAAUUAUCACUUAGAAAAAAACCCUCUGAUGAUUAUUGAUAUUAAUUGCUGUUUAGUAUGGCAAUUAACCAUACUACCUUGAAAUGUUGAAACUGAUACAUAGUAUAUAUUAUAAUUUUAUACUACUGUUAGGUUGCUGUUUUUGAUGAUGGUGGCGCGCCGAUGCCUAAAGGUUAAAGACUUAAAGUGCGUUAGUGUGCAUGUUUUUUAAUUCAAC